GCGAUCGUCGUAUAAUGGUAUUACCCUAGCCUUCCAAGCUAGAGACGCGAGUUCGAUUCUCGCCGAUCGCU
rnacentral:tRNA from 1 species